rnacentral:rRNA from 1 species
UCCGGAGGGCGCAAUCGUUGUUCGGAAUCACUGGGCGUAAAGCGCGUGUAGGCGGCCCGGCAAGUCGGAUGUGAAAUCCCGAGGCUCAACCUCGGAACUGCACUCGAAACUGCCUGGCUCGAGUCCCGGAGAGGGUGGCGGAAUUCCCGGUGUAGGGGUGAAAUCCGUAGAUAUCGGGAGGAACACCAGUGGCGAAGGCGGCCACCUGGACGGUGACUGACGCUGAGACGCGAAAGCGUGGGGAGAAAACAGG